ACGGAUAUUCACUGUCGGAGGCUUGGCAGAGUUCGAGGCUGGUUGGCUUGCCAUCCUAUUUUUGAUAGCACCAGUCAUAGCCAUGAAAGCCUGUUCGACAUUUGUAGCAUCUUUAGCACUGGUCUCCAAGAAUGGAAUACCAAUUUCAUCAGCAAAGGCCUUAGCUGUUUCAUACGACACAACUCUACUGGCAACAAGGUCAGACUUGUUCCCAACAAGAAUUUUGUUAACAUUUGGGGUAGCAUAACGGUCAAUUUCACUCAGCCAUUGUUUCACAUUAUUGAAGCUCUCCUGAUCCGUCACAUCAUAAACAACUAUUAUGCCAUGGGCUCCACGAUAGUAGCUGCUAGUGAUAGUCCUAAAACGCUCUUGUCCAGCAGUAUCCCAAAUCUGAAGCUUAAUGGUCUUUCCAUCUUGCUCCACUGUCCUGAUUUUAAAAUCAACUCCAAUUGUGCUUAUGUAGCUCUCCUGAUAUGUGUCAUCAGCAAACCUCAAAAGGAGACAUGACUUUCCAACACCAGAAUCACCAAUAAGCAGAAGUUUGAACAGGUAGUCAUAUUCUGUAUUCAUGGCGAUUACAAGCACACGAAAUUCGCCGGAAUAUGAGGAAUUUAGCGGCGGAUAUUGAUCCUUCGCGGCAGAAUUCAGAUGCA
rnacentral:misc_RNA from 1 species